rnacentral:lncRNA from 1 species
AUGUUUUUUUUGUAUAGCUCUAACCUGGUUGACAAUCUAGGGAGGGGGAGCAUGUAUUCUUCUUUGUUUUCUAAGAUGUAUAAAAUCUCUUUUGUGACAGUACCGCCAUGCCUGUGCUUUAUCCAGUUCCACUGGGACCCCUCUCAUUUAUCCAGUUCCACUGGGACCCCUCUCAUUUAUCCAGUUCCACUGGGACCCCUCUCAUUUAUCCAGUUCCACUGCGACCCCUCUCAUUUAAUCCAUUCCACGCGACCCCUCUUCUAUUCCUUAUUAAUAUCCAGUAAAUCAUUGAGUAUUAAAGUAACUUCCAGAUUUUUAUGA